rnacentral:rRNA from 1 species
CCUACGGGUGGCAGCAGUGAGGAAUAUUGGUCAAUGGACGCAAGUCUGAACCAGCCAAGUAGCGUGCAGGAUGACUGCCCUAUGGGUUGUAAACUUCUUUUAUACAGGGAUAAAACGAGGCACGUGUGCCUUUUUGCAUGUACUUUAUGAAUAAGGAUCGGCUAACUCCGUGCCAGCAGCCGCGGUAAUACGGAGGAUCCGAGCGUUAUCCGGAUUUAUUGGGUUUAAAGGGAGCGUAGAUGGGUUGUUAAGUUAGUUGUGAAAUUUUGCGGCUCAACCGUAAAAUUGCAUUUGAUACUGGUGGUCUUGAGUAUAGUUGAGGUAGGCGGAAUUCGUGGUGUAGCGGUGAAAUGCUUAGAUAUCACGAAGAACCCCGAUUGCGAAGGCAGCUUACUAAACUGUGACUGACAUUGAGGCUCGAAAGUGUGGGUAUCAAACAGGAUUAGAUACCCGUGUAGUC